AUUACAUAUCUAGCUUAUAGGGUAGAGGAAAAUAAACUAUUAAAUCUGGAGUCACCAAGGACUUCAACAGCAGAUAUAGUUUCAGCAUUUUUGCCCCAAUAAUAUACAGACAUUUAACUGAUAAAAAUACCUUCAUGUCCAAGAUUCUUAGAUUCUUUUAGGAUUCUUAAAAAGGAUAGCCUCCAUGGGUUACCUCUGUGUCAUCACUGUAACACAAUCACUCAUGCUGGAUCCCAGAAGAAUGAAUCUCACUAAAAAAAAGUUGGACAUAUAGCAGAACAGUAAUACGCUGUGACUCCAGUUAACUUUGAGAUGAUGCCUCUAUCAUUUCAUUUACAUAUCAAAGAUUAAUGUUUCACUUGGGCCCUGGGUAUCUGAGGCACUAGAUGUUAUUUAAGACAUCAAUGGGUCAUUAUGAAAGCAGAGCUGAUAGAGAAGAAAGGUAGAUGCCAUUGUAAUCUAGUGAUCUUUACAGCACAACAAGGUCCCCUGAAGUUGGAAAUCUAACCACGUUCCACAAGGAAAGCACAUGGCUUAGGGAAAUUGGAAGUCCGCUGGCUCCAGAAGGACUACAGUCAGAGGUAACCACAUUGGAACCUGUUUACAUGGUCACCAGCCUGCAAAUGAGUGUUAUCUAAAGAGAGAAGAUGCUUGAACUAUCAGAACCAUCAAAAGCUGAAAAUAGCCCACAAUUCGUCAUAGGAUUCAAGAAGAGGAACCUACAAAUAGCAAAGAACAGGGAUUCCUGUGAGCAUUCCUCUUCAAGAUGGAAGAAAAAGGGAACAUUUCACAGCCCCUAUGGUGCAACGUCUGCCUGUAGCCAACAAUACAAUCUGUGAGUCUUUUCUUGGUACCCAAAUUGUUCUGUGGAAGACUUUUUCAAAUUUUCAAGAAAUAAUAUUAGCAAAGGACUUUCCCGUUUUGGCUGAAGUAAUGCAAUAGUUUCCUACUUGAUCUCCCUUAUCUCACUUUUUCCCCCUCUGACCCACCCUUCUACUAGAUAAGUCUCUCUAAAACUUUUAAAACCUUCAUCAGAUCCUUAAUAAUUUUCAUUAGCUGUGGGCUAAGCCAUUUCAACUUCAUACUGUUACAUAUAGGUUUUGAAAAGCCCAUGAGCACAAUAUGUGUAUUCAUGACAGAUGCAGUGCUGUACCAGGAAGUACAUAAAGCCACAGGAGAAGCAUGGUGCAUCUUCUUGGACUGUCAUUUUUAUUCAAUAACAAAAAUCUAAAAAUCAUUUUUACAUUAAUACACAUUCCGUUUUUUAUAAUGACUUUUUUAAAAUUUUUUUUUUCUUUUUUUACUUUUUGAGACAGUCUUGCCCUGUCACCCAGGCUGAAAUGCAGUGGUGCCAUCUCGUCUCACUCGGCUCACUGCAACCUCUGCCUCCCAGGUUCAAGCGAUUCUUGUGCCUCAGUCACCCAAGUAGCUAGAAUUACAGUCAUGCGUCACCAUGCCCAGCUAAUUUUUUUAUUUUUAGUAGAGACAUGUUUCACCAUGUUGCCAAGGCUGGUCUGGAAUUCCUCGCCUCAAGUGAUCCGCCCACCUCAGCCUCCCGAAUUGCUGGGAUUACAGACGUGAGCCACUGUGCUCAGCCCACAAUUACUUUUAAAAUAAAUCGAGAGCCUUUUAUACUUGUGUAAGACUUCUUUGAGCUCUGUUUUACUUCUGUAAAAAUGUGUGAGAAGAAUGACACUGUACAAACUCUCCAUUCUGGCUAGCCGUGCUGACUUCGGCAUUAUGUCCCGUUAAGGCUCUCUAGGCUCUGGUUCUCUUGGUAGCCUCCACUCACCAGUGUAAGUCCUUGAUCUCUUCUUUAUCAGGGGGAUUUACCAUACCUAUACUGCCCAAGAGUAAGUGAUUUGAUCUAGAAAGCUUGCAGCUUCCUUAAACUCUUCUAGGUAGCCAGAUUCACUUAACUUUCUCAAUGAGCUUGAUUUGGCCCUCUUGGAAAAGCUACCGAACUGACAGCUGCCAUUGCAGGGGUGCGAAUGAUGCCUCCUAAUUAUUAAGAUUCCUCCUCUGGAUCAUGGCUGGAGAGAAUUCCUAAACAAAGUAUACCAAGGUGUAUGUUUAAAAAAUAAGUUUAAAUAUGUGUAAAAGAGAAGUAAGGUAAAUUCCCAAACGAAGGACGAAGAGAUAAGUACAUCUGUAGAAAACAUAAACAUGCUGCCAGAUAUUUCUUCAAGGAUUGAUUAAAGAGCAAAAAACUUUUCUGAGAAAGUCACUCGCCAUGCCAUCUAGCUUAUAACCAGGAGACAAAACUAGAGAAAUAUUGGUUAAAGAAAGAUACGUUAAAACAGUGAGUCCUUUACCUAGGAGGAGAGUGCUGUGCUGUGGGGGUUAUUAAGAGGCUUAAAAAAUUCAACUUUAUGAAAGUAAAUCUGAUCUACAACAAAUAUAUCACGUUAAAUAUACAAUUUGAUGAGUUUUCCUAAAUAUAUACACCCAAAUAAUCUCUCCCACAAUCAAUAUGUAUAAUAUUUCCAUUAUCCUCCAAAUUUCCUCAUCUGUUUUUGUAGUAAAUCUCACUCUACUACAGAUCCUGGGCAACUGUUGAUUUGCUUUCUGACAAUAUAGGUUUUUUUUUUUCUCUUCAAAAAUCUCAUUUAAAUGGAAUCAUGCAGUGUCUGUUUUUUUGUGUCUGUCUUUUUUGCUUAGCGUAAUGUUUUUCAGCUUCAUCAAUGUUGUUGCCUACGUUAGUAUUUAUUCCAUUCUAUUGCUGAGCAGUAGUCUUUUGAAUAGAUAUACCACAAUAUAUUUAAUAAUUUACCUAGUGAUAGAUAUUUGUGUUGUUUCCAGUUUGGAGCAAUUAUAAAUAAAGUUUCCAUAAAUAUUCAUAUACAAGUGUUUUGUGAACAUAUGCUUUCAUUUAUCUGUGUAAAUAUACUGGAAUAGCAAUAUUGUAUGUCAUGUGUACGGUUAACUUUAUAAAAAAUUGUCGAAAUAUUUGCCAAAAAUGAUGUGCGAGUUUACACAUCAACCAGCAAUACGUGAAAGUUAUAGUUGUUCCACAUUCUUUGUAACAUUUGAUAGAUAUCAUUAAUCUUUAAAAUUUUAGCAUUUCGCCAUGUUAAUAGUAUCUUUGGGUGGUUUUAAUUUGCAUGUCCUUGAUGACUAAUCAUGUUGGGUACCAUUUCAUGAUCUUAUUACCCAUUCAAGUAUUUGCAUGUGAUAUGAUAAUCUGUUCAAAUCUUUUCUCUAUUUUUGAAUUGGAUUGACUUACUUUUGAGCUGUGAGAGUUUUUAGAAUAUUCUGUAUACAAGUCCAUUAUCAGAUAUAUGUAUUGUGAAUAUUUUUUCACUUCCUUACUGUUGUAUUUUGAGGAAUGGAGGUUUUAACUUUGAUUAAUCCCAAUUUAUCAUUUUUUCAUUGUACUUUAUGAGUUCUAAUAAUUGUUUGCCUACCUUAUGCCUAUAUGUUCUUCCAAAGUCUUUAUAGCUUUACAAUUUUAGGUGUGUGAUUUAUUUUGAAUUAAUGCUUAGAAUGGCUCAUUCCAGAAUCAUUUGUUGAUAAGACUAGACUUUUCCCAUUGAAUUACCUUGGAACUGUUGUUGAAUGGGAUGCUAUUUAGGUAUAUUUCUGAACUUUGUUUUGUUCCAACGAUGAAUAUAAAAAUCCUUAUGCCAUUGCCAUAUUUUCUUGAUAAGUCUUGCAAUCAGGUGGUACAAAUCCUCUUUAGUUUUUAAAGCAGGUAGCAUAAAUGUAUUCUUCUUUUCCAAAAUGUUUUGACUAUUCUACGUCAUUUUGAUUUCCUUAUAAAUUAUGAAGCCAGCUUGUCAAUUCCUUUAAAACUGUUUGUGUUUUAUCUAGAAUUGACAUCUUAACAAUGUUGAGUCUUAACAAUACUGAUCCAAUACUUUGAUAUGUCUUUUCAUUUAUUUAGUUCUCAUUUAGUACAUCUCAGCAAUGUUUUAUGGUUUUCAGUGUAGAGGUCUUGGGCAUUUAAAAAUUAUCUGUAAAUAUUUUCAUGUUUCUGAAUGCUAUAGGAAAUAAUAAAAAUUUUAUUUUCCGUCAUAUAGAGUUACAAUUGCUUCUUGGAUUUGUUUACUAAAACCUUGGUAAAUUCGUUUAGUUUUAGUACCUGUUUUAUAGUUUUCUUUCCACAUAAACAACCCUGUUUUCUGAGAUUAAUGACAGUUUUUUCUUCCCUUUGCAUUUCAUAUGCUUUUAUUUUUUUUCUCUUCUUGCUUAAUUGUAUUUACUAGAACCACCAGUAGAAUGUGGAAUAAAAGUGGUGAGAACAAACUUAAAUUGCCUUGUUCUCAAUCUUAGGGGAAAAUCAUUCGGUCUUUCACUAUUAAGUUUGCGAUAACUGCAGGCUUUUCAUAGAUGCCCUGUGUCAAGUUGAGGGAGUUUUAUUUCAUUCUUAGUUUGCUAUUAAUACCAAAUUUAUAUAAAUGGGUGUUAAGUACAGAGAAAUACAGUUAUGAAGAUCAUCAUAUUUUCCCAUUUUAUUUUGUUAAUAUGGGGAAAACAUUAAUUUUUAAUUGUUAAGACAUCUUUCAAUUCUUGAAACAAAUGCCACUUUGUCAUGAUAUAGUAUGUUUUUUAUAUAUUGUGCAGUCGAUUUGAUGUUUUUAAAAGGACACUGACUGGUUUGUAAUUUUCUUUUUUGUAAUGUUCUUGUCUGGUUUUGGUGUUAGAGUAAUUCUAACAUCAUGAAAGUAUUUGGGAAGUGUUCCAUUCUCCUCUGUUCUCUGAAAUAAUUUGUAUAGGAUUGUUAUUAUAUUUUUCUUCAAAUUUUUGAUAGACUACAUGUGAAACUGUGAAUCUGAAGUGUCUUUAU
ensembl:lincRNA